rnacentral:misc_RNA from 1 species
GCGCCCGAGGUUUAAGGAGGAUUUCACGGCAGAAGGAGAAGUGAAUUAGUUGCAAUGCUAAGCCAAUUUGAUGCAUGCCAAUGGACACGCUAGGAUGAAGAAAUCUUACAGAUUUCUAUUGCGAAUGAUGAUUUGCUAAUAUGUAUAUUUAUGUGAAAGAUAUUUAAAAGUUACCAACAAGGUGAAAACCUGCGGAAAUCUAUUCUAAUCCGAAUAAAAUUAAAGGACAUCUAGCUAGAAAUGACAGAAUUAAGAAUUUAUGACAUAAUUGGAGAGCUAAUUAGCCUUAAUUACCUAGGAUGAUUACACUUUUGGUGAAAAUAUUUUUAAAAAAAGUGAAGCAGCCACACCGUAACUGUGCCUACGAAGAAAUAAAUAUCAAGAAGCACGUCGUGAAACACAGGGUACAAGGCAGGAAGGAAAUAAAAUACGAGUGCUGCCAAGAGUGCGAUGAACCGUACGAGGAUUCGCCCGUUGGAAGACCAAAUUUACCGUGGCACACGUGAAAAGUGGGUUCAAGAGAGAUGCAAGUGUUACCAUAAUCGUGAAUCAUUCACGUAUAGUCUAUAUAGUCCAGUAGGUCAAUGACUUAUAUCAAUUUUAACACUUUACAAAACGCAAUACAAUGAAAAUUUACAAAUUAACGUUAUUUGAAGCACGCAGAUGCUAUCACAAUUACUCUAACCAAUAUAAACAAGAAUGUUAACAUUGGACGGCACAAAAGAAGAAAGAAAAGCAUAAUAAUCUUAAUUAUAUAAUAAUUAUUUAUAUAAUAAUUUAUAUCUUAUUUAUAUAAUAAUUUAUAUAAUAAGAAAUGUGGAUGUAAUAAAUUCUGAUGUUUCAUAAAAUAUUUUAAAU